UACGAAGGUGGCAAGCGUUGUUCGGAUUUACUGGGCGUACAGGGCGCGUAGGCGGUUGGGUAAGCCCUCCGUGAAAUCUCCAGGCUUAACCUGGAAAGUGCAGAGGGGACUGCUUAGCUAGAGGAUGGGAGAGGAGCGCGGAAUUCCCGGUGUAGCGGUGAAAUGCGUAGAGAUCGGGAGGAAGGCCGGUGGCGAAGGCGGCGCUCUGGAACAUUUCUGACGCUGAGGCUCGAAAGCGUGGGGAGCAAACAGG
rnacentral:rRNA from 1 species